UAUUUUGACCGUGCAAAGGUAGCAUAAUCAUUAGCUUUUUGAUUGAAAGCUUGUAUGAAUGGUCGGACAAAGGAAAAGCUGUCUUUAUUGUAAAAUUAGAAAUUAACCUCUAAGUGAAAAGGCUUAGAUUUUUUAGGGGGACGAUAAGACCCUAUAAAGCUUUACAUAUAAGUAGAGUUUACUUAAUUAAAAAGUAAAAGUUUAAUCUAAUUAAUGUGUUUUGUUGGGGCGACAUAAAUAUAAUUUAUAUUAACUGUUUAUAAAUUAAUACAAUAAUAAAUGAUUUUAAUGUAGUUGAUCCUUAUUAAAGAUUAAAAGACUAAGUUACUUUAGGGAUAACAGCGUUAUUUCUUUUGAGAGCUCCUAUCGAAAAAGAAGUUUGCGACCUCGAUGUUGAAUUAAAAUAUCUAAAUAAUGCAGCAGUUAUUUAAGAAGGUCUGUUCGACCUUUAAAUUUUUA
rnacentral:rRNA from 1 species